rnacentral:lncRNA from 1 species
AGUGGGGAGCAACAUUUCAACCCUCGUUCUGGUGUUAGUGGGGGAACAGUGGCUUAUUUUUCCCUCCCUAAUACCUAAAUCAAACGGUAUCUCAAAUUUGAUAAACAAAAUUGAUAAGAACUUUUAGAACUUAUCUGAAUUACGGACUAUUUUGAAUUUAUUAUCCAAACUUUUAAAACUUUGAUUUUACUAUCAAACUUUUUAAUUUGUUUGAUUUGAGUCUGUCAACGACAUCUUGACUUUAAAAUUUAAGCUGAUUAUUUACUUUAAUAAAUUUAUGACUUCAAGAAUUGUAUGAAAUAUACUAACUAACUAAACCUACAAAGAUAAACAACGUAUUUAAAUUUUAAAGUCAAGAUAUCGUUGAUUGAUUUAAAUCAAACAAAUUUAAAAUUUGAAUAAUAAAAAUUAAAAUUUUAAAAGUUGAAAAAUUAAAUCAAAAUAAUUUAUAAUUCAGGUAAGUUCUGUAUACUUUUAGCAACACAAG